CUGGCGGUGCGCCUUAUGCAUGCAAGUCGAGCGAAGCUUUUCAGUAGUUUACUACAGAAAAUGACUGAGCGGCGAACGGGUGAGUAACGCGUGAGCAAUCUACCUUAGUUACAGGGAUAGCCCGAGGAAACUCGGAUUAAUACCUGAUAUUCUUUACAUUUCGCAUGAAAUCAAAAGGAAAGGUCAGCCGAACUAAGAUGAGCUCGCGUUCUAUCAGCUAGUUGGUGAGGUAAAAGCUCACCAAGGCAACGACGGAUAGCUGGUCUGAGAGGACGAUCAGCCACACUGGGACUGAGACACGGCCCAGACUCCUACGGGAGGCUGCAGCAGGGAAUAUUGCGCAAUGAGCGAAAGCUUGACGCAGCGACACCGCGUGUGGGAUGACGGAUCUAGGUUUGUAAACCACUUUCAGGAGGGAAGAAAAUGACGGUACCUCCACAAGAAGCCCCGGCCAACUACGUGCCAGCAGCCGCGGUAAUACGUAGGGGGCGAGCGUUGUCCGGAUUUAUUGGGCGUAAAGAGCUCGUAGGCGGUUCAACAAGUCGGUCGUAAAAGUUCAGGGCUCAACCCUGAAAUGUCGAUCGAUACUGUUGUGACUAGGAUACGGUAGAGGUGAGUGGAAUUCCGAGUGUAGCGGUGAAAUGCGUAGAUAUUCGGAGGAACACCAAUUGCGAAGGCAGCUCACUGGGCCGCUAUCGACGCUGAGGAGCGAAAGCUAGGGGAGCAAACAGGAUUAGAUACCCUGGUAGUCCUAGCUGUAAACGAUGGAUACUAGACGUAGGAACUGGAUUGACGGUUUCUGUGUCGUAGCUAACGCGUUAAGUAUCCCGCC
rnacentral:rRNA from 1 species